rnacentral:rRNA from 1 species
UGGUGGAGUGAUUUGUCUGCUUAAUUGCGAUAACGAACGAGACCUUAACCUGCUAAAUAGUUACGCGAACCUUCGCGUUCGUGGACAACUUCUUAGAGGGACUUGUGUGUGUUUUAACCACAGGAAGUUUGAGGCAAUAACA